GUGAUACAGGGUGACAGCCCCGUACACAAAAAUGCACAUGCUGUGAGCUCGAUGAGUAGGGCGGGACACGUGGUAUCCUGUCUGAAUAUGGGGGGACCAUCCUCCAAGGCUAAAUACUCCUGACUGACCGAUAGUGAACCAGUACCGUGAGGGAAAGGCGAAAAGAACCCCGGCGAGGGGAGUGAAAAAGAACCUGAAACCGUGUACGUACAAGCAGUGGGAGCACGCUUAGGCGUGUGACUGCGUACCUUUUGUAUAAUGGGUCAGCGACUUAUAUUCUGUAGCAAGGUUAACCGAAUAGGGGAGCCGAAGGGAAACCGAGUCUUAACUGGGCGUUAAGUUGCAGGGUAUAGACCCGAAACCCGGUGAUCUAGCCAUGGGCAGGUUGAAGGUUGGGUAACACUAACUGGAGGACCGAACCGACUAAUGUUGAAAAAUUAGCGGAUGACUUGUGGCUGGGGGUGAAAGGCCAAUCAAACCGGGAGAUAGCUGGUUCUCCCCGAAAGCUAUUUAGGUAGCGCCUCGUGAAUUCAUCUCCGGGGGUAGAGCACUGUUUCGGCAAGGGGGUCAUCCCGACUUACCAACCCGAUGCAAACUGCGAAUACCGGAGAAUGUUAUCACGGGAGACACACGGCGGGUGCUAACGUCCGUCGUGAAGAGGGAAACAACCCAGACCGCCAGCUAAGGUCCCAAAGUCAUGGUUAAGUGGGAAACGAUGUGGGAAGGCCCAGACAGCCAGGAUGUUGGCUUAGAAGCAGCCAUCAUUUAAAGAAAGCGUAAUAGCUCACUGGUCGAGUCGGCCUGCGCGGAAGAUGUAACGGGGCUAAACCAUGCACCGAAGCUGCGGCAGCGACGCUUAUGCGUUGUUGGGUAGGGGAGCGUUCUGUAAGCCUGUGAAGGUGUACUGUGAGGUAUGCUGGAGGUAUCAGAAGUGCGAAUGCUGACAUAAGUAACGAUAAAGCGGGUGAAAAGCCCGCUCGCCGGAAGACCAAGGGUUCCUGUCCAACGUUAAUCGGGGCAGGGUGAGUCGACCCCUAAGGCGAGGCCGAAAGGCGUAGUCGAUGGGAAACAGGUUAAUAUUCCUGUACUUGGUGUUACUGCGAAGGGGGGACGGAGAAGGCUAUGUUGGCCGGGCGACGGUUGUCCCGGUUUAAGCGUGUAGGCUGGUUUUCCAGGCAAAUCCGGAAAAUCAAGGCUGAGGCGUGAUGACGAGGCACUACGGUGCUGAAGCAACAAAUGCCCUGCUUCCAGGAAAAGCCUCUAAGCAUCAGGUAACAUCAAAUCGUACCCCAAACCGACACAGGUGGUCAGGUAGAGAAUACCAAGGCGCUUGAGAGAACUCGGGUGAAGGAACUAGGCAAAAUGGUGCCGUAACUUCGGGAGAAGGCACGCUGAUAUGUAGGUGAAGUCCCUCGCGGAUGGAGCUGAAAUCAGUCGAAGAUACCAGCUGGCUGCAACUGUUUAUUAAAAACACAGCACUGUGCAAACACGAAAGUGGACGUAUACGGUGUGACGCCUGCCCGGUGC
rnacentral:rRNA from 1 species